AAUACAUUGUCAUAAAAUAUUAUAAAAAUUACAGGACGUUCUACACAUUCGAUCAUUCCGAUGAAAUACUUUUGCUAAUGACAAAAAAUUUCGAAAAUUAGUGAUACAUGUGAUAUUUGAUAAGAGAAUUAUUUCAAGAUAAUUCUGAUGAUAUUCACAGAUAGUUAGCCUCUUAUAUGAAAGGAGAUUGCGUCUCAAUAGCCUAAGAUAGAAUCGACACGAAGCUUUGUCUCCCUUUGAUAUAUAAAAGCACAUACCACCAUUCUCACGCGGCAUUUAUGCAACAUGCAUAUAGAACGAGACAACACAGUAGUUUUAUGCGCACAUAAAUCUACAUACGCGCACUCUUUUGCGCGUAUGUGGUAAAGAACACGACGUGCAAAAGCAUACCCUUGAGAUUUUAUCACCAGCGAGGAUGAAGGCGUUCUAUUAAUUUGAGGAAUACGGCGAGGCAAUGAAUUGGGACUCUAUCGGGGCUAACCUGAUGAAACCAGGAUAAUUAUCUGGCCCGAUAAUGGUAGACAGAGUAUACGCCCGGCAUUCACUAUAACACUGUCGCGUCAAAAGGCUUUGUAAUUCGACUUGAAUAAUGACGCUGCAUGCCGUUCUACGUUGCUUUGUGAUGUGUAAUUGCAACCGCUAAUAUCGAUGAUUAUAACAUCGCACUCUACAAAUUCUUGUAUAUGUAUGUAAAGCACAAUAGUGAAAGGAACGCGAAUUCAAUAACUAUGUUAAUUAUAUGUAAAAUCAGUGUUUGCCUGAGAAAUUAAACAGUAUGUUUAGUAUUAUAGAGAAAGAAAAUAAA